AAAAAACAAGACAGGGUACUCGGGGAGCUCAUGAAUGAUGAAGCUGAUCGAUAAUGGAUAGAUGGAUGAGAUUGGAAUUUAGGUUUCAGGGUGGAAUUAUGAGUCUGGUGAGUUGAACGAGAGCAGUAAGCGACUAAGAGUGUUCAAAAUGGAGGAGGAAAGUGUAAGAAGAAGGGAAUGCCUGCUAAGAAUCUGAUGGCUGUGAAGGGGAGGAGGAAGAAGCAAAAUGAUAGGCUUUAUAUGCUUAGAUCAGCAAAGUAAACAACAAACUUGAGUCAACUCCACCUGGAUCUUUGCCUCCAACUCCACAAAUCUUCCAUCCAUUAGCUCCUACACCUCAUAUUAUUUCUUUCUGUGUAAAGGAAGAAUUAUGUCCUUCAUCUUUGCCAAGCUUUAAAGGCCAACAAGCAAGAGUUGAGGUUAGACUAAGGGAAGGAUUUGCAGUGAACAUUAAGCGGUGAUUAGCUGUUUCAACGGGGUUGCCGUGAGUGUUUUCCACGCUGAGCAAUAUCAAGGACAUGAGAUAUUGCUUGAAAUCAAAGCAGUACU